GAGUACUCACUGUUCAAUAAAAUAAAGUGUACCUCGGGGAUAUCAAGAGCACUUUAGCUUUAAUUGAGCGGUUCUUUUUGACAAACUCCAGAGACUUCAGCAGAGGAAAUAUAUCAACAACACUCCGUGUGGGCAUUAUCAAGAAUUAACAAAACAAAACACAUCACAGUUUAGGCGACAAUUGAAGAAGAGCCUCGAUCUUGAGGAGUAUUAAACAUGGAGGGUACAAGAAUGUUAGUAAACAAUCUUGCUUUCUUACUGAUAGUAAAGAUUCUGCUUUCUCAGUGAUUGUUGAAGAAAGGUUUUCGGUGUCUAAUAUUAUCUUGCAUCUCAUACAAGUCAUUUGCAAAUGAUAAAAAAAUGAAGCAGAAGCAAGUGAUGGCAUGCUGCGGCUGGCAGAGCUCAAACAAACAAAAAUGCACACCAGCUAUUGGAAGAUUGGUCGAUGAAGAAAGUGAAGACCAUGUUGGUGGAUGUAAAUCGCAGGAGGAUGCCGAGCAAGUUGAGGUUAUCCUAAAAAAACAUACCAGCCGAUAUGAAUGUUGCUCACUAGAUUCUUUGGUUUUGGAUAGAAUUAUAGAGUGACUAGACUCUAUAGAGGAACAAAUUAAUCGGAUGGAUAAUAACUGUAAGAGUCCUAUGGCUGAUGUGCCUAUCGGAGAAGCUAGCCACAAGUACAAAUGGGCUAACAUCAUUCGUAGUGGGGGUAUAACUAGGAAGAAGGUAAGCUCUCCUUAAACACCACCUCUGCGAAUAAAGGAAGCAGAGGUCCGAAAAUUGAAAAAGAUAUGUAAAGCUCGUGCAUCACAAAAAUAGGGGAAUGGGUAUGCUCUUCAUCUAAUGAAAAAUUGUGCCAUUGCUGUGGAAAAGAAGACACCAAAGAGGAUAUAAAAAAGGCAAGAUUCACAGCGGCAAUGCAAAACCAGGACGUGUUUGGGCUUGGUGAAUGCGGAGGAUGAGGUCUGCUCGAACCUGAUACCUGUUCAAAUAACUAGCAGCAGUAGUAAUCUUAAGAUAUUAGGGUCACAGUUGAAUACCAUAUCCAAACCAACAACCAAGGGCGACAACCAAAACAUUGAUUUGGAGAUACUAUAUGGCAAGGAUAAGAAAGAAAUUGAUCCGUGUAGCCUCCCAUUUCGGUCGAAGAACUUGCUUCUUGAUUAUCUGCUAGAUGCUAAACUACCUUCAAGGUAUAAUGUCAUACUUGUUUUGAACUUCAACUAUUGAUGGUAACGGUUGAUAAUAGAAUACAACUAACACUUUUUGGGCUGUUGAGUAAUAUCUAUAGUACUUUGCUAAUAUCGACUCUAGGACAAGAUGCUAAUAGGAAAGAGUUUAGGUCUCUAGCCCCUUGUGAAUGGCUUCAAUGUGAGGUAAUUAUCUUCUCAUUUUCAUAUAAUUUUAUACAUUUUUUUUGUUGGUGAGAAAAGAGUCCCCUGUGCUGCUGGUAUACAAGGUACUCAAUUGUUAUGCUGCUUUAUUGACUAUAAACACAAGAAAGAAUAAUCCAACUGAACACAGUCAGAUAUGGUACAUGCCAACACGGUUUCAGGUGAGGGAUUUUGUUAGAACCUACUAUACUAAUAAUCCCAUACCUAAAUCUGCUUACUAAUACAAAAAUUAAAUGUAUAUCCCAGCAAUAUAGUGAAUCAUCUCCACCACGACUGGAAGUAUUGUACAAUAGGUACUUAAGAAAGGAGAACUUUGGUGGUUACAUAGAUGCAGUUGCAAAGGUUUAAAAGAUUUUACUUCAUCUUCUUGAUUUUUGUUUAUGGAGGGAGACGUUUGUUUAACCAUAACUGGUCUUGUGUAGAUAUGCAUUCAUAUGAAUUGGAAGAACAUGCACUGGUAUCUAUUUGUGAUUGAUAUGAAAAAUGAAACAAUCCACAUAUAUGAUAGCUUACCAGUUAAGGAGUUCAAUUUCAAUAGACUAUAUCCAGUGAUGCAUGUGGUGAGAACUAUUAACUUUCCUAAUUGUUUUAGAAGUUGGGUAUGCAAAUGCUUGUUUUACUGUUAAUGUUAGUGUAUGUACAGAGAAACAUGCUCCAUGAGGCAUUGGCUUAUGGUCUUGGGAAAGCUUAUCAAAAAGACAUAUCCAAAUUUCCGUGCAUUAGGCCUCAGUGGUGUCCACGACAGCCAGAUGGAAAUGAUUGUGGCAUAUAUGUUAUGUAUUUCAUGAAACAUGUCUCGGAAAUGGAAGCCGAAAUGGUUGUCAGUUUUGUGUCGGAUAAAGAACGAUGUUCAUUGGCUUUGGAAUUGUUUGUCCAUCCUUCUAAUUUAGUCCGUGAAGAUAACCUUGGCGUUCUACCAUGCAUGAAGUAAUCUACAUACUUGACGGAAAAUGAUUGGUUUUUUUUGGAUAAGUUUUAAUGUAAUUGGCAUGGAAUUUUAUUUUUAUUUUGAGGGCAAUGGCCUGUAUUGAUCGGAAUGUUAGUCCGUGAAGAUAACCUUGGCAUUCUACCAUGCAUGAAGUAGUCUACAUACUUGACGGAAAAUGAUUGGAUUUUUUUUUGGAUAAGUUUUAAUGUAAUUGGCAUGAAAUUUUAUUUUUAUUUUGAGGGCAAUGGUCUGUAUUGAUCGGAAUGUUUUGUUCACUGAGAGCCUUACCAAGAAAAUUCUGUUGUUGUGUUUUUAUUGGAUUGAUUCUUGUUUUGUCUUAAAUGGAAAAAGCGAAAGAUGGAGGUGAUUUUGUAUUGAUCAAGACGAUUAACUAUAACUAAUAUAAAAUAAAGAGUAACGUAUUUAUUUUCUCUACUCAAAUAAAUGGGUCAAAUGUUCCUAAGUCUUACGUUUGUGUGUAAAUUAAUAUUAAUGUAUUUAGUUAGCGAAAAACGAGAUGUUUGAAUAUUGAUAAUAUUUACUUAAUCUUACCGACACUCAAAGAGGUCUAUUUAUUAUGAUUUCAUGAAAUUUUGUUUAACACUAUCAUAAUAAAAGAUGAUCCUUUACUUGUGUUAAAAAUGAUAUUUGUCUACAUUGAGAUUAACAUUAUCAUAAUCAUAAAUGAUUCAUUAAUUUGUAAAUAUGGUAUUUGUAUACAUAAGAUUAGUAUUAUUAUAAUCAAAGCUGGCCCAUCAAAUCUGAGAUGCUAAGAAAGAAUGGGCAACGACUCGGAUAAUGGGGCCAUAUCACAUGUAGACACUGCAACCAGAUACAUUAGGACAUAUGUGGGCUACCUCAUAGGAAUUCAUAUAAAACAAGCGAAGUAUUUCCUGCUUCUUAUUAAACCCAACUCCAUAGUCUUGGUUCCAAAGUCUACCUCCACACUUCUUGCUAUGACCUCCACAAGCUCUGAAGCAUCAGUAACUUUUGUGAACUGGCCAAGCCGAAGAUGCAAUUGCGGAAUGGGAUUGUGUAAGAGAAAAAUAGCUAGAACCAAUCCAGCGAAUCGCGGCAGACAUUACUACGAUUGCCCCAACGCACAGAGAAAAUGCUCUCCAUUCAUCGGUUGGUGUGAUGAGUAUGCAAAUGCUCUGAAAAUGGUUGCUGAAGGUGGAAUGGUGGUGCCUGAAGAUAGCAUAGUUAUGUCGGAGCAGCCCUUUAUCAACACACUUGAGUGUAUGGAGGUUGUUGACGGUGUCCGGAAAGAUAUGGCUGCAAUGAAGAAACAAAUUUGGAUCCUUAAGUGUAUCAUUUGUUGUAUGGGGAUCUUUAUUUAUUCGAUGUGGGUUAAUUAAGUUAUGAUGAGAUAUUAAGCUAACCACCGGUUUGGAUUAAAAUAAAUAAAUAUUUUG